UUCGGAUGACCUGUGGGUAGGGGUGAAAGGCCAAUCAAACUCCGUGAUAGCUGGUUCUCCCCGAAAUGCAUUUAGGUGCAGCGUUGCGUGUUGCUUGCCGGAGGUAGAGCUACUGGUUGGUUGAGCGGGACUACAAUCUUAGCAAUGUCAGCCAAACUCCGAAUGCCGGUAAGUGAGAGCGCAGCAGUGAGACGGUGGGGGAUAAGCUUCAUCGUCGAGAGGGAAACAACCCAGACUACCAACUAAGGUCCCUAAGCGUGUGCUAAGUGGGAAAGGAUGUGGAGUUGCAUAGACAACCAGGAGGUUGGCUUAGAAGCAGCCACCCUUUAAAGAAAGCGUAAUAGCUCACUAGUCGAGUCGGCCUGCGCGGAAGAUGUAACGGGGCUCAAACCAUACACCGAAGCUACGGGUAUCACGUAAGUGAUGCGGUAGAGGAGCGUUCUGUAAGCCUGUGAAGGUGAGUUGAGAAGCUUGCUGGAGGUAUCAGAAGUGCGAAUGCUGACAUGAGUAACGACAAUGGGUGUGAAAAACACCCACGCCGAAAGACCAAGGUUUCCUGCGCAACGUUAAUCGACGCAGGGUUAGUCGGUCCCUAAGGCGAGGCUGAAAAGCGUAGUCGAUGGAAAACAGGUUAAUAUUCCUGUACUUCUGGUUAUUGCGAUGGAGGGACGGAGAAGGCUAGGCCAGCUUGGCGUUGGUUGUCCAAGUUUAAGGUGGUAGGCUGGGAUCUUAGGUAAAUCCGGGAUUUCAAGGCCGAGAGCUGAUGACGAGUUGCCUUUAGGCGACGAAGUGGUUGAUGCCAUGCUUCCAGGAAAAGCUUCUAAGCUUCAGGUAACUAGGAACCGUACCCCAAACCGACACAGGUGGUUGGGUAGAGAAUACCAAGGCGCUUGAGAGAACUCGGGUGAAGGAACUAGGCAAAAUGGCACCGUAACUUCGGGAGAAGGUGCGCCGGUGAGGGUGAAGGACUUGCUCCGUAAGCUCAUGCCGGUCGAAGAUACCAGGCCGCUGCGACUGUUUAUUAAAAACACAGCACUCUGCAAACACGAAAGUGGACGUAUAGGGUGUGACGCCUGCCCGGUGCCGGAAGGUUAAUUGAUGGGGUUAGCGCAAGCGAAGCUCUUGAUCGAAGCCCCGGUAAACGGCGGCCGUAACAAUAACGGUCCUAAGGUAGCGAAAUUCCUUGUCGGGUAAGUUCCGACCUGCACGAAUGGCGUAACGACUUCCCCGCUGUCUCGACCAUGAGCUCGGCGAAAUUGCAGUACGAGUAAAGAUGCUCGUUACGCGCGGCAGGACGAAAAGACCCCGGGACCUUCACUAUAGCUUGGUAUUGGUGUUCGAUUCGGUUUGUGUAGGAUAGGUGGGAGACUGUGAAGCAUUGGCGCCAGCUGGUGUGGAGUCAUUGUUGAAAUACCACUCUGGUCACUUUGGAUAUCUAACUAGGAACCGUGAUCCGGUUCUGGGACAGUGCCUGGUGGGUAGUUUAACUGGGGCGGUUGCCUCCUAAAGAGUAACGGAGGCGCCCAAAGGUUCCCUCAGAAUGGUUGGAAAUCAUUCGUAGAGUGCAAAGGCAGAAGGGAGCUUGACUGCGAGACUUACAAGUCGAGCAGGGACGAAAGUCGGGACUAGUGAUCCGGCACCUACUUGUGGAAGUGGUGUCGCUCAACGGAUAAAAGGUAC
rnacentral:rRNA from 1 species